UGGGUUUGACAUGCACAGGAUCGGCGUAGAGAUACGUCUUCCCUUGUGGCCUGUGUGCAGGUGGUGCAUGGCUGUCGUCAGCUCGUGUCGUGAGAUGUUGGGUUAAGUCCCGCAACGAGCGCAACCCUUACCCUAUGUUGCCAGCACGUAAUGGUGGGGACUCGUGGGAGACUGCCGGGGUCAACUCGGAGGAAGGUGGGGAUGACGUCAGUGCUUGCCU
rnacentral:misc_RNA from 1 species